GUCCUACGGGGCGCAGCAGUGAGGAAUAUUGGUCAAUGGGCGGGAGCCUGAACCAGCCAAGCCGCGUGAGGGAAGAAGGUACAGCGUAUCGUAAACCUCUUUUGUCAGGGAACAAAGGCGGGGACUAGUCCCCGGAUGGGGGUACCUGAAGAAAAAGCAUCGGCUAACUCCGUGCCAGCAGCCGCGGUAAUACGGAGGAUGCGAGCGUUAUCCGGAAUGAUUGGGCGUAAAGGGUGCGUAGGCGGCCUGCUAAGUCUGGAGUGAAAGGUACCGGCUCAACCGGUACAGGCUCUGGAAACUGGCGG
rnacentral:rRNA from 1 species